UACGGAGGGUGCAAGCGUUGCUCGGAAUUAUUGGGCGUAAAGGGUAGGUAGGUGGUCUCAUUUGUCUGGGGUGAAAGCCUUGAGCUUAACUCAAGAAGUGCCCCAGAAACGGUGAGACUAGAGUCUUGGAGAGGGUCGUGGAAUUCCCGGUGUAGCGGUGAAAUGCGUAGAGAUCGGGAGGAACACCAGUGGCGAGGGCGACUACCUGGCCUGUUCUUGACGCUGAGGCGCGAAAGCUAGGGGAGCAAACGGG
rnacentral:rRNA from 1 species